rnacentral:lncRNA from 1 species
AUGGAUUCACUAUUCAUUAUCAAACUUGUUUCUUUACAAUUGGGUUCAUAUAAAAAAGUAUGGUUCUUGAUGAUAUGAUUACAUGACGUUGAGAAUGGAGGCUCUUGUUUUGAUCAAGCACCUAAAAAGGGACUCAACUCCUUCCUCAAGAUCUUGAAUGCAUGGGCAAGUUCUUCAGACGAGCUUGGAUUUCCUCACUGAAUUUGCUAGUCUUCAAACAGGCAUCCACUUCAGCGAAUUCGUUUUUUGAUGCUGCAAAAAUAACUCUUUUUUUUUGGGGCUUGCCAUCAGCUUCGAGACCAAAAACCAGCUGCUUGACUUGGAGUUUGAUUGAGAAAUGAAUGACAACAAGUCCUCCAACACCUCAACAACAAUGGGUUCAGCUUCUCUUAGCAUGUUGACGUUGUUGGAUGAGGUAGAUUUCUUGUUUUCAUUACCCUUCAAGGCUUUUUGGAUUGCUUUCUUCACAACCUUUCUUGAGUUGAGAUAUCUCUUGGCUUCUGCAAAUAGAUCUCCUUGCCUUAUGCGAAUGGCGGAUUGAAG